GUACCGGCCAACCCUUCGGGCGGGGCUCUACAUGCAAGUCGAACGAGUUCUGAUUAUUGAAAGGUGCUUGCAUCUUGAUUUAAUUUUGAACGAGUGGCGGACGGGUGAGUAACACGUGGGUAACCUGCCCUUAAGUGGGGGAUAACAUUUGGAAACAGAUGCUAAUACCGCAUAAAUCCAAGAACCGCAUGGUUCUUGGCUGAAAGAUGGCGUAAGCUAUCGCUUUUGGAUGGACCCGCGGCGUAUUAGCUAGUUGGUGAGGUAACGGCUCACCAAGGCAAUGAUACGUAGCCGAACUGAGAGGUUGAUCGGCCACAUUGGGACUGAGACACGGCCCAAACUCCUACGGGAGGCAGCAGUAGGGAAUCUUCCACAAUGGACGCAAGUCUGAUGGAGCAACGCCGCGUGAGUGAAGAAGGCUUUCGGGUCGUAAAACUCUGUUGUUGGAGAAGAAUGGUCGGCAGAGUAACUGUUGUCGGCGUGACGGUAUCCAACCAGAAAGCCACGGCUAACUACGUGCCAGCAGCCGCGGUAAUACGUAGGUGGCAAGCGUUAUCCGGAUUUAUUGGGCGUAAAGCGAGCGCAGGCGGUUUUUUAAGUCUGAUGUGAAAGCCCUCGGCUUAACCGAGGAAGUGCAUCGGAAACUGGGAAACUUGAGUGCAGAAGAGGACAGUGGAACUCCAUGUGUAGCGGUGAAAUGCGUAGAUAUAUGGAAGAACACCAGUGGCGAAGGCGGCUGUCUGGUCUGUAACUGACGCUGAGGCUCGAAAGCAUGGGUAGCGAACAGGAUUAGAUACCCUGGUAGUCCAUGCCGUAAACGAUGAAUGCUAGGUGUUGGAGGGUUUCCGCCCUUCAGUGCCGCAGCUAACGCAUUAAGCAUUCCGCCUGGGGAGUACGACCGCAAGGUUGAAACUCAAAGGAAUUGACGGGGGCCCGCACAAGCGGUGGAGCAUGUGGUUUAAUUCGAAGCAACGCGAAGAACCUUACCAGGUCUUGACAUCUUUUGAUCACCUGAGAGAUCAGGUUUCCCCUUCGGGGGCAAAAUGACAGGUGGUGCAUGGUUGUCGUCAGCUCGUGUCGUGAGAUGUUGGGUUAAGUCCCGCAACGAGCGCAACCCUUAUGACUAGUUGCCAGCAUUUAGUUGGGCACUCUAGUAAGACUGCCGGUGACAAACCGGAGGAAGGUGGGGAUGACGUCAAAUCAUCAUGCCCCUUAUGACCUGGGCUACACACGUGCUACAAUGGAUGGUACAACGAGUUGCGAGACCGCGAGGUCAAGCUAAUCUCUUAAAGCCAUUCUCAGUUCGGACUGUAGGCUGCAACUCGCCUACACGAAGUCGGAAUCGCUAGUAAUCGCGGAUCAGCACGCCGCGGUGAAUACGUUCCCGGGCCUUGUACACACCGCCCGUCACACCAUGAGAGUUUGUAACACCCGAAGCCGGUGGCGUAACCCUUUUAGGGAGCGAGCCGUCUAAGGGGGACCA
rnacentral:rRNA from 1 species